rnacentral:rRNA from 1 species
UGGGGAAUAUUGGACAAUGGGCGCAGGCCUGAUCCAGCCAUGCCGCGUGUGUGAAGAAGGCCUUCGGGUUGUAAAGCACUUUUGUCCGGAAAGAAAGCGAAUCGGCGAAUACCCGGUUUGGAUGACGGUACCGGAAGAAUAAGCACCGGCUAACUUCGUGCCAGCAGCCGCGGUAAUACGAAGGGUGCAAGCGUUAUCCGGAUUUACUGGGUUUAAAGGGUGCGUAGGCGGGCUAUUAAGUCAGAGGUGAAAUCUCCGGGCUCAACCUGGAAACUGCCUUUGAUACGAUUAGCCGUGAAUUAUGUUGAGGUUGGCGGAAUAUAACAUGUAGCGGUGAAAUGCUUAGAUAUGUUAUGGAACACCGAUUGCGAAGGCAGCUGGCUAAACAUAUAUUGACGCUGAUGCACGAAAGCGUGGGUAGCGAACA